AAGUUGGCUUUUAAACACUGCCUGGGUGGAGGGGUGGGGUGAUAGUGUCGAGGGUUGCCCGUUUGCCGCGCCGCGAAGGACCCUGUCACCACCCAGUAGCAGCAGCGUUGUGAUCCAGUGUACCGGAGGAUCAUUAUCCGGACCCGUUAACGUAGCGGAGCCUUAUCUUAGGGAAAAUAAAAUGCUUCUACGGGAUUACAAUGACUUGUGUUACUUCAAUUAGACCAUAGCAUUUGAAAAGGUAUAAAUUAUGUUUUUUGGUACAAUGUGCUGCCAUGGCCAUUUUGUAUCCAUAAUGAACGAUAAGGAAUAAGUGACUAGGUGGUGCGCGGAUUAAGGACAUGCAACCAUGAAUAUGUACAAAGAAAGAGUCAGGGGACAGAAUGUUUUGAACAAAUUGCAAAGUCCCUCCAAGAAGGUGGUUGGCAAGCCAGCGCCCUUGAAGUCCAAGGCGGCGUCGCUGUUUAAGCUGGUCACCGUGGAGUUCUGUGACUACACGGGGUCUUUCACCGUGGUGGGGCCCGACCAGGCUAGCCGAGCUGAAUACGUCAGGACACAGCUCAAACAGAUGAGGGUA